rnacentral:rRNA from 1 species
GACGUAGGGCGCGAGCGUUGUCCGGAUUUAUUGGGCGUAAAGAGCUCGUAGGCGGCUCAUCGCGUCAACCGUGAAAACCAGCAGCUCAACUGUUGGCUUGCGGCUGAUACGGGUGGGCUGGAGUUCGGUAGGGGAGACUGGAAUUCCUGGUGUAGCGGUGAAAUGCGCAGAUAUCAGGAGGAACACCGGUGGCGAAGGCGGGUCUCUGGGCCGAUACUGACGCUGAGGAGCGAAAGCGUGGGGAGCGAACAGG